rnacentral:rRNA from 1 species
UACGUAGGGUGCAAGCGUUAAUCGGAAUUACUGGGCGUAAAGCGUGCGCAGGCGGUUUUGUAAGUCUGUCGUGAAAGCCCCGGGCUCAACCUGGGAAUUGCGAUGGAGACUGCAAGGCUUGAAUCUGGCAGAGGGGGGUAGAAUUCCACGUGUAGCAGUGAAAUGCGUAGAGAUGUGGAGGAACACCGAUGGCGAAGGCAGCCCACUGGGUCAAGACUGACGCUCAUGCACGAAAGCGUGGGGAGCAAACAGG